AUGCAAUAUCAGCAAUUAACAAGGCAAAGGUUUCCAGAGGACUAUGUGUGCAAAUUCUUCAAAAAACCAUUUUACCUAGCAGCAUAUGAACCAAUGAUAUAUCCUGUUCCUGGUGAACAUGAUUGGACAAAGACAACAGGACCAGACAUAGAGCCACCUAAAUUUCAUGUGAAGAAGGGAAGAAGGAAAGAGAAGAGGAUAAAGGGCAGAUUUGAGGUUCCAAAGCCAAAAGAGAGUUCAAGAAUGGCCACUAUAACAUGCAGCAAAUGUGGGCUCCAAGGCCAUAGAUACACUAGCUGCAGCAAACAAUUGAAACCAGAGUUGGCUUUGAGAAAAAAUAAGCAUGUGGCAUCUAGAAGAUCAAGGAAUGUUGAUGAAGCACAGGCAGCACCAGCAAGAGCAAAGGCUGCACCAGCAAGAGCACAGGCUGCACCAAGAAGAGCACCAGCAAAAGCACAGGCUGCACCAGCAAGAGCACAGGCUGCACCAGGAAGAGCACCAGCAAGAGCACAGGCUGCACCAGGAAGAGCACAUCCUUAUGCAAGGCAUGGUGCUGCAAGGCAUUCAAGGCCAUUAUCUGCACCAAGAGCUGCUGCUAGGAGUUCUGCUGCUGGGGCUUCCACUUCUGCUGGCCCUACAAGUCAUACUGGAUGGAUGGCCUUUUCUACUGCAAGUGGAAAUACCUACCUGUCAUGUCUCAUGUUUCUAAACUAUGUCAGUUAUGCCCAAGAUAUGAGGGGUGUUGCCCCAAGAGAUGAGGGGCAAGUUAUGUAUGCUAUUUGUUAG
rnacentral:rRNA from 1 species